rnacentral:misc_RNA from 1 species
AUACCUGCAAUUGUGCCACCUUGAUUACUCCAAUUCCCACAAGAUUUGUUCAUCAAUCUUGCUCAGCUUCUCAUCAUCAAGACACUUCCAGGUCCCAAUCCUCUCCACUCCCAUCCAUGACGUCUCACUCCUUCCAAGUUCUGCCAAUAUGACCCUUGCUCUCCGUGGCCAACCAGCCCUUCCAUAAGCGUGGUAUCCAAAGCCUCCACCAUAACAAAACCAUAUACCAUCUAAUUUCCCACAAAAUUCAUUGUUGUGAUCAUGGCCCCAAAACACAGCCUUCACAUCUCCCAUGGAUACAAAGGUCUGUAAGAAAAAAGGUUGGUAAGCCUCCUGAGUUAACUGAGAAACAAGCCACAGCUUCAUGAAAAUGGCCUAUAACCUUUUGAUUGUAUAGCUGCCGAAUUUCUGGGAUUGGGAUAUGAAAAAAACCCAGUGCCGGAGGUGUAGGUGAAAGUGAAGCCUCUGACAAACGAUAAAGAUCUUGCUUUUGACCCUGAUAUCCCUUAGAAACACCACGAAGCCAAUGAAGUUGAGACUCCUUAAUCCAACCAUAAGUUCGAAUUCCUUGAACAACCUCUCUGGCUCCACUGUCAAGAAAGAAAAGAUUGAGGACACUGUGGUUUGCCAAAAUGGAACCUGGAGCUCCAUAAACUCUGAGAUUAUAAUUC